rnacentral:rRNA from 1 species
GGAUAACCGCUGAAAGCAUCUAAGCGGGAAGCCUCCCUUAAGAUAAGAUCUCACUGGGACAUAAGUCCCCUGAAGAGCCGUUCGAGACUAGGACGUUGAUAGGUUGGGUGUGUAAGUGCUGUGAGGCAUUGAGCUAACCAAUACUAAUUGCUCGUGAGGCUUGACCAUAUAACACCAAAGUGGUUU